rnacentral:lncRNA from 1 species
AUUUGCAUUUCUAGAAGAUGAAAGCCCUAUGCAGACAUUCUGGAACUCUAGAAACUUUAGAACACUUGAUGCCGGUUGGUGGGAGGAGCAAUGCAGGGAUGAAUCACUGAAAUGAUUUCAGCUCAAGAACCUCUUUCACCCUGAACACAUGAAGCUGCCUCACCCCAAGUCAGACGGUUGGUCCACUUUGCCUAGCCAUGUCUAAUGUAACUGCCAAAGGCCCACCUUGGACAGAGGCCUUUCCUACUGGAGAACCUGGUCCUUCCGUGUGCAAGGCAUGCGCUCUGCCACUGAUCUGUGGGCCCUUCCCAUUCAAACAACACAUUCCUCAAAACUAGAGGCAAACGCGUCUUGUCAGUCCCAGUGCUGGUCGUGUGACUCUGCCGGCCUUUGCCUGCCAGUUCACUGCCAUUAUGAAUCUACGAGGAUUCCCUCCCCCUCGGUUGAAAUAACUUGUGCUUCAUUUGUAAUGCUUCCUCGCGCCUGUACAUGUUUCACAGCCGCUCAGGUCAUGUACUGUGCAGUUACAGGACAUUUAUUUAUCCGGUAACAAUGAGAAAGUACAGAGCUGCUCUGACUCCUUGAUCACACACGUGGAGGGUCAGGGGACAGAGUCGCUUUGUGGCUUUGUGUUCUUGGUGUCGUAAGUUGUUUGGGCUAAAAUUGACACAUGGGUAAAGAGCUUUGCCUUUCAGGGUUGCCUUUGUUUGAAGAGAAGGCUCAACACAUAGAUCCCCCACCCCCAAAUCAAAGAUGAACAACUGGAUUGGCUAUGUAAGUAGUCUACAUAGCACUGGGGAGGUGUCUCUAUAUUGUUUUUGCAACAUCUUAAUAUGUAGAAGGCCGGGACGCGGGUGGUGCUGUGGGUAAAACCACAGUGCCUAGGACUUGCCGAUCGCAUGGUCGGCGGUUCGAAUCCCCGCGGCUGGGUGAGCUCCCGUCUUUCGGUCCCAGCUCCUGCCCACCUAGCAGUUCGAAAGCACCCUUAAGUGCAAGUAGAUAAAUAGGUACCGCUUUAUAGCGGGAAGGUAAACGGCAUUUCCGUGUGCUGCGCUGGUGCUGGCUCACCAGAGCAGCUUCAUCACGCUGGCCACGUGACCCGGAAGUGUCUCUGGACAGCGCUGGCCCCCAGCCUCUUAAGUGAGAUGGGCGCACAGCCCUAGAGUCGGACACGACUGGCCCGUACGGGCAGGGGUACCUUUACCUUUACCUUUUAAUAUGCAGAAGUGUUUUUUGACAUUUUCAGGCACAGCAUGCCCUGCUGAUAUUAUUUAUUUCACAACAUUUAUAUACUGCUUGAUGGUAGUAAAACCUCCAAGCAGUUUACAAAAAAAGAACCUUUAAAAAUUCACAUUAAAGCAGGUAAAAGAUAACUAAAAUCCACUGUAAGCAAAAGGAGAUUCAAAUGCAUGUCAACAUUCUGCAUAGGCUUGUUUGUAUUUUAUAUGGCUUUAAAUUGUUUUUAAUGCUGUAAGACACCAUGGGAAAAUAAUGAAUUUUGAAUGGCAGAUCAUAAUUUUUUAAAAAAAUAAAAAUAAAAUUCCUGUUUUGUAGGUGUGCUAAAGCUUUGGUGACCUUUGGUGCCCUGGUAAACCAGCCAAGUGAAGAAUCCCAAGAAACACCUCUUCACGUAGCAGCUAAGCAUGGUCUUCCCGACCACACGCUCCUGUACCUGCGGUGCGGUGCUCUUGUGGACCAGAAGAACAGCCAGGAGGAGACAGCACUCAGUGUGGCUUGCAGAGAAGCAAAGAACAGGGAGAGCCAGGAGCUACUUGCAAGUAUGUCAGCUGCUGCUGGAAUAUGGAGCAGAAGUCAACACUGUGGAUGAAGAAGUGAAGACUCCGCUUCAUAAAGCCUGCGGGAAUGCUCAUCACAGCUUGGUUGAGCUCCUGCUGCAGAGGAAAGCCGAUGUCAACGCCAUCGAUUACAAUGGGGCAUAUCCAAUGUCCUGUGUCCUGCAGACUGCAGCUUUCAAGCAAGAGCAGAGGCCCCAUCUCACAGUACAGACCCUGAUAAACCACGGCUCUCAAAAACUGUGGCCCACAGCUUUCGUCAAG